GACGAACGCUGGCGGCGUGCUUAACACAUGCAAGUCGAGCGGUAAGGCCCUUUCGGGGGUACACGAGCGGCGAACGGGUGAGUAACACGUGGGUGACCUGCCCUCAGCUCUGGGAUAAGCCUGGGAAACCGGGUCUAAUACUGGAUAUGACUCCAUGACGCAUGUUGUGGGGUGGAAAGCCUUGUGCGGCUGAGGAUGGGCCCGCGGCCUAUCAGCUUGUUGGUGGGGUGAGGCCUACCAAAGGCGACGACGGGUAGCCGGCCUGAGAGGGCGACCGGCCACACUGGGACUGAGACACGGCCCAGACUCCUACGGGAGGCAGCAGUGGGGAAUCUUGCGCAAAU
rnacentral:rRNA from 1 species